rnacentral:lncRNA from 1 species
GCCUAUCCCUUGUUCCAAGUCCCUUGACUGGAACAAGCACAAUAAUCAAAUGUUUUACAAAGAUUUAAAAGCUCUUAUGAAAGCAAAUAUAACAAUGAAAAGCAACAAAACCGGAAGAACCCUUUUUGCCAUUGGAAACGUGGGUAAUGGUGGUUCUUCCGAUGUGGAUCACGUUGGCUUGAAUGCGAGCUUUGAAUGCCGAGUGGGAGUGAGUAGUUGAGCACGAAAUCAGAUGAAGAAAACUUGAAUGCACUUGAUUUCUUCUCUUGAAAGCACCAACUCCCUUGAACCUCUUUUUCUUUCUUCUCUCUUGAAUGAUCUUGU